rnacentral:lncRNA from 1 species
GGUGUUAAAGACCUUUUCCACUACCUCAAGGGUACAACGAAUUUGGGCUUGUUCUACACCCAUGAAUCCUCGAGAAGAGCCGCUGUCCCCUUCGAUCCUCGGGUUGAUUCUCGCCUUGUUGGUUAUGUAGAUGUUGGUUAUCUGUGUGACCCACAUAGGGCACGCUCUUAAACGGGCUAUGUCUUUAUUGUUAGAGACACCGUUAUAUCUUGGAGGUUUACCAAGCAAAUGCUAGUUGUGACUUUUUCGAACUAUGCUGAGAUUCUCGCCCUGCAUGAAGCAUUGUGUGAGUGCUUUUGGUUGAGAGCAGUCAUGGAACAUAUUCAAAGCACUAAUGGUCUUACUUCCGUCGUUGACCUUCGUACGAUGAUCUUUGAAGACAAUGCAGCAUGCAUCGAGUAGUUAAAGAAGGGAUACAUCAAGGGAGACAACACCAAGCACAUAAUGCCGAAGUUCUUUUAUUCUUACCAGCAACAACAACAUCAGAACAUUGAAGUUAAGCAAAUCUGUUCCUAGGACAACCUGGCCGAUCUCUUCACCAAGUCAUUGCCCAAGUCUACUUUUUAGAAGCUUGUCUAAGGAAUCGGUAUGCGUAAAUUAUCUGAGUUGAAUUGCUUGUAGUUCUCUUAUUUGGAAGUUAUAUUUAACUCAGGGGGAGUAUCCAGAAGCGUACUCACUUGAUCUUAAUGUACUCUUUUCCUACGAUUAAGAGCAUUUUUCCCACUAGGUUUUUGCUACCUAACAAGGUUUUAAUGAGGCACCCAUCCUGGGAUGAUCAUGCUCCGUUGAGUUCACUACUUUCGUCCUAUUUGACGAUUGUUUUAGACAUUAUGCAUACUUCUCACUUUUCUCCUUAGUCUAUGGGCUUUUACCUACCUUAGGUUUUACCAUAGCGAGGUUUUGUGAGUUUUACUACCCAUGCAUACUUUCUUUUAAAUUUGAGACUCGCAUUCACCCGUUGUGCCGACGACUUCAUCAAUUGUUCUAUCUCAUCUGCUGAAGAUCUGAUGUGAUGUUUUAUUUGAGUAUUUAAACACUUAAGGGUGAGUAUGCAGUUCUAUUAGAUUAGGAAUGUGAUUGUGUAAAUCCUAGUGUAUCCAGGCAUAUCUUUGAAUAUUCCCUUUAAUGGUUAAUAUCCUAUUAGAGUUCGUAAUCCUAUUAGGGUAAGGAUUUAACCUUCCCUACUACUAUAAAUAAAGGCAUGGUGGGGUGAGAUAAUACAUACCUCAAAAUUACGUCUCUCUCUUCUCUCUCUUUUGUCGUCGGCCUUGUCCCUCUCUAGUCCUAAAUACAGUUCAGUAAAUUAGGCCUACAGCAGGAAUUUUAUUUUUAGAAUUUGUGAAUUUUUAUAUAUCUUCUGUUUAUACCAUACUUAGGGCAUCCGUAUUUAGAUCUCAUAUAAAUACUCGGAGGACUCAAAUGUAAUUAUGUAAUAAAGGAAGGGGCAAAUAUGUAAUAAGUGAGGAGUCCUUAUUCUAUAAAAUGACCUCUCACUCUCCUCAUUAGGGGAAGUCAAUUCCUAGGCCCUCUCACCCUCAGAAGCUCUCUCUCACAAUCCUCUCAGAAAUACAAUAAUCAGUGUGGACGUAGCCCAAACAUUGAGGUGAACCACGAUACAUCUUGUGUUAUUUACUUUCUUGCAGAUUCACGGUCGGAUUUACGUUGUUCCAAGACCCCUCCGGUUUUAUGCAUCAACAUUUGGCGCCGUCUGUGGGAAUCGAACCCACAAAAAGUUGUGUCGGUUCUCUUUUAUUUUUUCACCUCCACCGUGAACCUGCACAACUACAAAACCCAUGUUUCCCGCUCCAACUCCCGGUCACAGCGGCAUCAAUGGAAACACAAUCACUCAUAUCUCUUUCUCUCCGUGCCCUCUAUAGAGUUUUAUAUAAGAAAAUCUUUUGCUUUCAUUAAACAAAGUUUUACAAGUCGGUAAACAAUAGAUUAAAGUAGCACAGACUCAGAGAAAGCUAGAGAGAGAAAGAGUAAGAGAGAGAGUGAGGGUUGAGUGAUUCUUUCUUCUGCUUGCAGAGAUGUUACAUAAACAAGCGGUAGAAAUAUACAAAUAUGUAUAAUCUGGGCAUUUGGGAUCAGAUCGAACUUGCAACUUGUUCAUCUUUCAUUACGCACUUCACAUUGUAUUCCGACGAUCGAGUUUUCUCAUCAUCCAGAGUCGACCCAAGAUCACAUGCUUUGACUUAAAUCUCAACCUUUGAUUUAAUCUUGCUUCUCCAGGAAGCCAUGGUCUCCUCCGCCAACAUGAAGAAAAUAAUAGGCGACCUCGCUAAAUCCUGUAUGCACCACGAUCAACACACAGUGAGUGAGCUUCACAAACCUCAGAAAAUGGUGAACAACGAGUAGUCGACGGGUUACGCCACCUCUACCUACGGGAUCUAACGGGUCGACCCGGGGUCCUUCUCACGGUCUCGGAUCUCGGAUGCGUCCACGGGCUCGCGGGUCUUUCUAAUGCCAUGGCCAAUGCUUGGCCCAUGGUGAUGAUCUUGGGUUCGUGCGACCAAAAAGAUUUCGACCGCGGAGAUUUCUAGGAGCUCGAUCAGACCGCCAAAGUAGCUCAACCAAAGCAAAAGGUUUCGUUUAUACUUCUCGCAGGCGCUGCAGAUCAUCACACCAAAAACAGCCUUAUCAAGCAGCAGUACGUCCAAAGGCAUUGAGCUUCAUGACGAUGACGCUGAAGAGGAUGCUGAGGCUAUGGCGGCGAUUCGGGCCUUGAUGUGUGUGAUUCGGUCUAGUGAGGUCACCAAUAUGAUGGAGCUCGAAAUUGAACUCAAGAAGCUGCGAAUUUAUGUUUUAUUAAAAUAUUCAUCAACAUGAGCCUCAAACUCGAGAAGCUAGGCGUAGAGACCAGAUUCAGGCAGAAUGGAGAAACACCAGAAGGGCGUACUGGUGGGUAUCAAUUUUGCAUGUAAGGGCAUGGCAGAAAAAGAAGGGCUAUUUUUGGUUAAUGUUCAUAGUGACGCCUGACUAGUCUGUUACCUUAUACUUUAGUGCCAGAUUGGAGUUCGACAAGGCUGACAAUAUUCCAUAUGGUUUUGGGCUGUUCAAGCAGCAGUCAUUCUAAAGAAAAGCAAGAAAAGCAAUGGCAAUUAAAAGCUUAAAGUCAAAUGGUCUCCAAAGGCCAUAGAACAUAGGCGGACAAAGAUAUUUACGGAGGACCAGAGAUGAUUGCGGGGGACUCGUGGACCAUGCAAAAAGGAAAAGCAGAAAGGAAAAGAGAAGUAAAAUCAAAAGCUUAUGCAGCCAUCUGCCAUACUACUACCCAACCUUCAAUUGUAUAGAUACUAUCCCAUUAUCUAACCAUAUGCCCUACCCACCUUCUGCAGCAGCUUUUUUGAAUGAUGUAAUUUACUUUUCUUAUCUUUUGCAGACAUCUGUAUAAACCCCAUCAGAGGGUAAUAAUAAUAAUAAAAAAAAAACAGCAAGCCCAAAAUAAUGGGCUGGAAUGUUAUGUGGAGGGUGAAUGCCCAUAUGCCCAAAAGAGCUAGGCCCUAUGGCUCUAAAAUUAUUCGGCAACCUGCCGCUAUUAUCACCAACUAGGUGAUCAAAAGUACGUCUAGUACUCCAAAAUUAUACAUAAGCAUUACUCAUGUCAAUCAUACAUAAACAUACAUGAGCAUUACUCAUGUCAAUCAUACAUAAACAUUCAUGAGCAUCACUCAUGCCAAUCAUACAAAAACAUUCAUGAACAUCACUCAUGUCAACAUUUAUGAGCAUCACUCAUGUCAACAUUCAUGAGCAUCACUUAUGUCAACAUUCAUGAGCAUCACUCAUGUCAAUAUUCAUGAGCAUCACUCAUAUAAACAUUCAUGAGCAUCACUCAUGUCAAUCAGCUUCAAAAGCUUCAUUUACAGAGCCUUAGCUUCAAAAGCUUCAUUUACAGAGCUCUAGCUUCAAAAGCUUCAUCAGAGCUUUAGCUUCAAAAGCUUUAUUUACAGAGCUCUAGCUUUAAAGCUUCAUUUAUAGAGCUCUAGCUUCAAAAGCUUCACCAGAGCUCUAGCUUCAAAAGCUUCAUUUACAGAGCUCUAGCUUUAAAAGCUUCAUUUACAGAGCUCCAGCUUCGAGAGUUCCAGCUUCAAAAGCUUCAUUUACAGAGUUUAAGCUUCAAAGCUUCACUUACAAAGCUUCCCCUUCAAAGCUGCAGUGCAGGGUAUACAAAUAUUGCCUUCGAACAACCGCCACUUCGGCCCAUACAUGGAUUCAAUUUGAAGUCUCCAGCCAACAGACUUUAUUGACCGAAGACUUGGGGGACUACAUUAUGUACCAUAUAUUGGGCCUCAACUGGGCCUCAUGAAAAAUACUUAGGGGACUUAGCCCAUUAUUUAUGUACUGAGGAGCGAACCUUUAUUCUAUAAAAUGGACUCCUUCACUUUCAUUAGAGAGCACCCAUUAUUCAUGUACUGAAGAGCGAGCCCUUAUUUUAUAAAAGGGACUCCUUCACCAUCAUUAGAGCAUCGCCGCCUGUUGAGCAACUGCCUCACCGCGAGCAUCACUCCUAACCCAUCAUUUAUGUAUUGAAGAGCGAGCUUUUAUUCUAUAAAACGGACUCCAUCACCAUCAUUAGAGAGCAUCGCCGUCUGCUGAGCAACUGCCUUGCCCCGAGUAUCACUCCUAGCCCAUCAUUUAUGUAUUGAGGAACGAGCCCUUAUUCUAUAAAAAGGACUCCCUCACUAUCAUUAGAGAGCAUCGCCGCCUGCUGAGCAAUUGCCUCGCUCGAGCAUCAACUCUAGCCCAUCAUUUUUGUAUUAAGGAGCGAGCCCUUAUUCAAUAAAAGGGACUCCCUCACCUUCAACGCCACAAGGCGAGCCAACCAAGGUAACAUAAGCCAUAAGCAGAGCAGCCUCGCAACAUGUGCUACUUCUGGUUGAGCAUCAUUUCAGAUUGGGCACCGCCUCAUAUUGAGUAUCAGUUCUAAACGACAUCUAGUUACUUCGGCCCACACAUAGACUGAAUUUCAAGUCUCCAGCCAAAAGACUCUCUUGAUUGAAGACUUGAGGGACUACUGUUUAUACCAUACUUAGGGCCUCCGUAUUUAGAUCUCGUAUAAAUACUCGGGGGACUCAAAUGUAAUUAUGUAAUAAAGGAAGGGGCAAAUAUGUAAUACUUAAGGAGUCCUUAUUCUAUAAAAUGACCCCUCACUCUCCUCAUUAAGGGAGGCCAAUUCCUAGGCCCUCUCACCCUCAUAAGCUCUCUCUCACAAUCCUCUCAGAAAUACAAUAAUCAGUGUGGACGUAGCCCAAACAUUGGGGGGAACCACGAUACAUCUUGUGUUAUUUACUUUCUUGCAGAUUCACAUCGUUCCAAGACCUCUCCGGUUUUAUGCAUCAACAUCUUCUUUAUAUAUAAAGCUAGUAGCCCCAAUUUGGGGUCACGGCUUCACCAAAAAAUUUUGUACAAAAAUGCUCUCAAAACAAAAAUGUUUAAAAGCAGCCUAAAAUAAUGCAUCAAAUAAUGCAAGGGUAGUUUGGUAAUUUUGUAAUAAAAAUAUAAUAUAAAUAUAAGUGGGAAGAGAGAAAAGAAUAAAAAAAAAAGAAAAAGGAAAACUAAUGAAAAGGGCUUGAAAACUUUGAGUUUUAACGAUAAAGACAAAAUAAAGGGUAAAGUGAAUAGUACCAGGAUUGACUUUUUAGUGUAAAAAUGUGGUUUUUCGUUAAAGUGAACAGUAACGGGAGCUUUUCGUUAAAGUUCCCUAAAAAAAUGAAAGGAUGAGUGAAAAUUGCUGGUGCCCACGUGAAGGGGAAACGAAAAUAUAAAAAAAAAAGGAAAAUCAUGAAGGUUGUGUGAUGGUGUCAAAAGGAAAUGAAAAAAAAUGGAGCAGUUGAGCAUGAGUAGAAAUCGUGAGAUAGUUAUCCACGUUGCAACUAUACAACUUUUUGAAUUUAUAAGAGCUAUGACUUAUUAUGUAAAGUUGCAAUUGUUGUUAUCCACGGGUUUCUUCUAACAUGGUCUAAUAUUAUUCAUUGAGUCCAACUGUACAACUCUUUGAAUUUAUUAGAGCUAUGACUUAUUAUGUAAAUUACAAUUGUUGUAUCGAAUCAUCAUACCAUCAGUUGUUUAUUAAAUAUUAUUUUCUCUAUUUUUAAACACGUUCAAAACAUCUUAAGAGGUGCGUAGCAUUGGUGAUAAAAAAGAAAAUAAUGAAAUAAAAAUAUUGAAGGAAUUCACGCAUAUAAAUACAUCUAAAAAGUGUAAGUCGCACCUAACUCACCGUGAUUAAAAAAUACCUUUUGCACACGGUUGUUUAUUAAAUAUUAUUUUCUCUAUUUUAAACACUUAAGAGGAGCGUAGUGCCAAUUAAAAAAAAAAGACCUUUUGCACGUGCAUAAUAAUGUGAUUCAAUUAGUUGUCAAAUGAUAAUUUUUUUUCUUUGAACAAUCGAUGUUCUCUACACAAAUGGAGAGGGGGGUGGGAUUAGCCUCAUAAUGGGCUAUCAAUAAUGUAAUUCAAUCAGUUGUUUAUUAAAUAUUAUUUUCUCUAAUCUUAAUGUAAAUUCAACAGAAUGUAGAUGGAAAUUGAAAGACUGCUUUUAUUAUGUGGAUUCAGCUACUUUGAUUGUUUUAUCAGGUGUUUCUUCUAGCAUGGUCUAAUAUUAUUCAUUUAUUUCAAAUAUUUGACUUUCUUUUUGUCAUAAAAAAAAUUAUGAAAGCAAUUCACGCAUAUAAAUACAUUUAAAACGUGUAAGUAGAAAGUAGUAUGUCGUGAUUCCAAAAUGUGAAUUUAUAUAAACACAAAAUGUAAGGAGACUACAUAGUUGGCCUAUAUGUCUUGCUCUCCUAAGCUCCUUAUUUGAAGACUUGUGAGGUCUAGAUUCAUAUUAGCCUUAUAUUAAUUUAGAUCAAACACUUAAAAUAUUUGACAACUUAAUAAAGUAAAACAAGAAAAUGAGUUUGUAUAGUUCAUGGAUUUGAAGUUGGUUUUGAUUUUUUUUUUGAAUAAACGAUAUUAUCUACAAUAAGGGGUGGUGGUGGGCUUAGCCUCACAAUGCGCUAGCAAUAAUGUGGUUCAAAUUCGCCUUUGGCGAGAAUCAAACCUAAGACCUCUCACUUGCAAGUGAAGAGGAAUACCAGUAGACUGUAGUACUAACUGGCAAUUGGUUUUGAUUUAUUAAGUUAUCAAAUAUUUGAAACCUUGGGAUCUAAAUUAAUAUAAUUCUGUGGCUAAUAAGAAUUUGGACCUCACAUGUCACAUCCCGACUCGGGCCGCCACCACAUCUCGGGCUCGACUCUACUAUAGCACGAUAUUGUCCGCUUUAGGGUGUGGUCGGGGCCCAAAACGGACAAUAUCGUGCUACGGUGGAGUCGAGCCCGGGAUGUGACAUCGCAAGUCCUCCAAAUGAGAACCUUACGAGAGCAGGACUAUUUUGUCUCUCUAACAUUUUUUUAAUAUAUAAAAUAUGGUGUUAAGUAUAUUGGUGGCAGAGGUGAUGGUGGGGGGUUGCGGUGGCGGUAGAGACCCCAAGUGGGGUGGGAGUGGUAGUGAUGGGCACUAUUUACAUGAAAUUUAAACUCUCACUCAUGGAAUUUAGAAAUAACAACUAUUUACAUAAAAUUUAAACCUGAAAAUUUGAGGUUACAAAAUUUAAGUUUUUUUUUCGCACGAAAAUUCUAAAUUAUAUGUUAAUGAAUCUAAACCAGUCAAACCUGAAAUAAAACCAAACCAAACUGAUUUAGGAGUGUUUAAAUUGAGAUUUCGAAAGAUUUUAAAGCAGCUAUAAAUCCAUGGUGUUUUAUGAAGUUCCAUAACUCUCAUGUCUAGGAAUUUUAGAGGUAGAGGCCUGAUUUCCCAAAGCCUAAAAAAACACUACAAAUGUGACAACCCGUCCCUACUUUUACAAUUUUGUUAAUUUUAAAAGAGUGAAUUGACAAAAAUGCCCCUAGAGGUGAGGGCAUUGACUUUCAUUGACCAGAUUAUAGUGACAUGUACAAAAUGUUAUUUUAGCGUAUCCUUGUAGUACUCGACAAUACGAAUGCGUGGGUUCAAGCGGAAUCGAAAUCGGAGCUACAGUUAAAAUUUUACGAAACUAUGAUUGUAAAUGGCAUAUUAGUAAUUCCAUUUUGAAAGAUAUUUUGCAUUGCUUUGUAAGCCAGUGGGGCCCACAACCCACUCUCUCCCUAUUCCCCUGUGUUUUUUCCUUCCCAUUUUCCUGGACGUCUCUCUCUUUCUUUUCAAACUUUCUCUCUCACACACCUAACUCUCUCUUCUUCCUUUUCUCCCUCAUUUCUCUGUUUUGCAGAGAUCAACACCACACAUCACUCGCCAUUUUCUCUGGGAACCAUCAUCCUCACAUUUUCUUGGGUAGAUAGGAAUCUAACCAUUAUUGGAGCCCUUGUCUUCCUCACCCACUGCACACGGAAUGCACAUAAGCACAAGAGAUUUUAGUGAAGGUAAGUUUAAAAAUGGACUUAAAUCACCCUAGUUUGGACUUUUGGGUAAAAUUCUGAGUUUAUGCAUGUGUUUUGGUGAUGGUUUGAACACAGAAACAUCGAGGGGAGUUACGAUCUGUGGCCGUCGAGGCACUUUCAGGUCACUUUUCCAGUGAACUCCGCCCAUGACACGACCUCAAAUGGGUAUAGACCUAUUCCCUACACUUCUAGCUUCACAUAGGCUUUUGUAUCAUUGAAUUUGGUGGAGAAUUGAGCUCGAUAAAAGCUCUGGAAAAUGGACCAAAAACCUGCAAAAUGUAAGCCUUUGCGAGGAAUGCGAGUACGAUGGUACUCGCAGGCGCGUGGGAGUGCGUGGGCUCACAUUGGUCGUCGGCGCGUGCGGCGGCGCUAGGAAGAACCCGAGGUCCCUCCUCAGGUUUCUCGACGUGCUGGACCCGAAUCCGCCCUCCAUUUUCUGAAAUUUGAUCAUUUUAAAAUAGUUUCUUUAUUAGCCAUACUUUCUAUGAAAAUGCAUUUAUACAUACGUUACGUAUUUACAUAAAUGGUUUCGUUUCUAGGCGAAACGUAUCGCAAAGACUCUCGAUGCUACGAGGCUGGUUCAACUCGACGACAUGAUCUAUGAGUGUGUAUUUUCUUUGAUAUAUAUAUAUAUAUAUAUACAUGUUUAGUUUCCAUAUAUACAUUUAAUAAUGAAUUUUCUAUAUGAAUGCCCCAAUCUUCGACUCCUAUGUGAUGCAAUAGGCAAUUUCGACUCCUAUGUGAUGCGCCUAGCCCCAGUCUUCAUGUGAUUGUAGUACUAGAGUGUAUAUCAUUGUUACACCCAAUCCUAUUCAUGUCAGAAUACCUCUGCAUGAACUCGUGUGUCAACAUGUGUCGAUGAGCACUCAUUAUGAUAUGUUUACUUAUGCAAGAUUUUGUGAAUACGGAAGUCAUGUGCUUACUUACGAAAUAUAAUGUCGUAUUGAACUCUUGAGAUAUUGCUGGCUGCGGUAAGUAUUUUCAUACUAUACGUAGUAUGUAUAUUUUGGAAACUAUACUUGUUUUACAGUAAUGAGUUAUAAUGUUUUCAGAAAGGUUUUUAUAAAACUCUAUUUUCAGGCUAACUCACCCUUGUUUUUCGCCCCUCCAGGUUUAGUAGCUGUGCUUUUAUGUCAACAAGGAUUCUUGGUAAUUUGGACAUUAAUGAUUACCAUCGAUGGUAUAAUUCUCAAUCUACUAUAUUGUACUUUACUUAUGCUUUGACAUCAUGUGUGAAAUGGGUUCACUCCUACUCACUAGCGCACUCUUAUAUUUAGGCACUUUUAGGUUUAAAUUUAUUCACAUUUUCCAUAUCACUACACUUUAUGGCUUCGUCACCCUUCGGGUGUCGGCCAUCACAACUCGAUUCGGAGUCCAAGUGGACAUUCCGAGUCAGGUAGUGUCAAUAAAACUUCUCUAAAUCUACUAAAAUCUUCAUCUUUGAAAAUACUUUAAAAUCCAAUCAUAAUUGAAUACAUAUAGAGUUCUAUAAACUACUUUAAAAUCUGGACUAAAUACUCUUUGGUUUCUAUAGAGUUUAUAAACUCUUUUAAAUCUUGAUUAUAUACCUGUGGACUUCCAUGCAUUCAUUUAAAAUUUUGAUUAAAUAAAUGUGAAUUUGUAAACUCUUUUAAGCUUUUAAUUGAGUACAUCUCCUUAAUUUGGUCCAGUUCACUUUUAUACUCUACAAAGCCAAAAUAAACCAAUUUGGUAUAAAUAUAAGGGCAUUUCUAAGAUGCAGACAUUAACAACGCACCUUGCGUAUGGACCGCAGUCGAACGGUGGUGAUUUGUUGAGCUCGCGAGUAGAUCUGAGUUGUUGUGACCCUGUAUAAUUAAAACAUUUAAUUUUUUUUAUUUGGUGGGUAUGUAUUUGUCGGAGAGAAAGUAGGAGGCAAAGAGCUGAGGGAGGGAUAUGUUCAAACAUUGAAGAGGGAAAGAAAAAAAGGCGGAGACAUGGAGCUGGGGUGAGGAUUGAUUCCAAUUGGGUUGAAGAUGUGCUGCGACUGUGACCCAUUAAUCUUAUACCUUUAACUUUUAUUGUUCACAGGGGUGUUUCUAUCGGCAAAAGCGAGGGAGUUGGUGAUGUUGGAGAUAUGUGAUGUGAUAUAAAAUAGCACACAAAUUAAACCCUCUUUUUGAUAGUUGUAGUAUGUGUAAGUAGGGAUCGUUCUAGGCCGGGGAUUAGGAGGGAUGCUAAU